GACGAACGCUGGCGGCGUGCUUAACACAUGCAAGUCGAACGGCAAGGCCUGCUUUCCCUUGUGGUUUGCGGGUCCUCGAGUGGCGAACGGGUGAGUAACACGUGAGUGAUCUGCCCCCAACUUGGGUAUAAGCCUGGGAAACUGGGUCUAAUCCCCGAUAGUACUGCAGGGUGGUGCCUGUGGUGGAAAAUGAUUUUCUAGUGUUUGGGGAUGAGCUCGCGGCCUAUCAGCUUGUUGGUGGGGUAAUGGCCUACCAAGGCGGCGACGGGUAGCCGGCCUGAGAGGGUGGACGGCCACAUUGGGACUGAGAUACGGCCCAGACUGCUACGGGAGGCAGGAGUGGGGGAUAUUGCAGAAUGGGCGGAAGCCUGAUGCAGCGACGGCGCGUGGGGGAUGACGGGCUUCGAGUGGUAAACUCCUUUCGACCGCGAGGAAGCCACCUGGUUGGAAGGGUGGUGACGGUAGUGGUAGAAGAAGCACCGGCUAACUACGUG
rnacentral:rRNA from 1 species